UACGGAGGGUGCAAACGUUGUCCGGAAUUACUGGGCGUAAAGCGCAUGUAGGUGGUUAUGCCAGUCGACGAUCAAAGACUGCCGCUUAACGGCAGGACCGUUGUCGAUACUACAUAACUAGAGGAAUGCAGGGGUACGCGGAACUUUCGGUGUAGGAGUGAAAUCCGUAGAUAUCGAAAGGAACACCAAUGGCGAAGGCAGCGUACUGGGCAUUAUCUGACACUAAGAUGCGAAAGCGUGGGGAGCAAACGGG
rnacentral:rRNA from 1 species